UCCAACAUCACCCGCAAUGAGUGUGGAAAAACCAAACUGUGUUUGGACAACCCUAAAGGAUGUGAUCCUUCAGGCAGCUCUCAGUGUUUCUUCACCUCAGUACAGAUUAUCUUAACUACCUUCAACCUGACGGUUGAGCUCAGUGGCAACUCCAUCGGUUACAUUGCUUUAGCAGCUGGAGUGACAUCUAGUGUGGCUCAGGGCCUCAAUAUCAUCUUUGUCUGUGGCAAUAAUAAUGGCAGGUUCUUCUUCCGGACUGCAACACUCUUUAAUAAUACACUGCUGACAACAAAUGUACCCAAUGUAAACAAUAUCCAGGGUUCAAUACAACCAAGCUUGAUUCAGUGUGUUUUCAGCAUCCCCAUUGAUACAAACACCCUUAACUUCCUAAGCAAUGUCAAUGCCACAAAUGUCAACAUUAGCAACAUUGCUAAUUCCCAGCUGAAUGUUUUCCUUGACAUCUUGCAGGGUUCAACCAAUGGCUUGCAGAUACAGUAGUUUGGAAUGCAACUUCCAGGUUACUAAUCAAAUAAGCAAAUUUGUCACAUCAAACUCCCACAUCCAUGUGAA
ensembl:lncRNA